GUCCAGGUUGGCCUCAAACUUGUGAUCUUCCUGCUUCAGCCACCUGUGUAGCUGGGAUUACAGAAAACAAAAGAAGAAGUACUUUGCACCUGGAUAUAAAAUUCUGUGUCUCUUGAUAAUGUCGCAAUAUGCCAGUCUCCUACAAAAGGCCAGCUUGAUGAUGCUGAGUUACAUUUCCUAACCGCAAAACCACGGGACUUGUCAACAUAUCCUGUUCCAAAUGACUGGAUUAAAAGAAUGCUGAAGAGAUUUGUCAUUUUGAUGUUCUCAACUAUGACAGCAAAGGUGACCAGGAUUGAGGACCUAUGAUUUAUCAUUGGUUUAAGUACCAGUUUUGGAUGCCAGAGCAAGACUUUGUCUAAAAGUAUGGAGAUGAUGCUCUGAUUCUGGGAGAAAGAGCACUCGCCACAGAAACAAACCAAGAACAGUGAGACCCGACAGAGGGCAAUUCCACAGACUGUUCAUUCGUUGGGGCUGGAUCCACCUCAGCAAAGGAGCACUCAGUAUGUUGCUUCUAGGGAAGAGGAACCAUGCUAUAAUGGAGUCCCAAGGAUUUUGAAAAGAACAAAAGAAUAGUAAUAGAAGAAUGUAAGGUACCUUGAUCCUGUUUACCCACAAGUUCUUACAUAGGGAUAACCAGUAGUGCUUUUGGGGACUUGUAAAGCUUCUGCAAUGUUUCUUUUGAAAAGUGUAGUUUCUCAUUGGUUACCAAUGAGUUUACACUCAGGUCAGGUGGUGGUUGAAAGAGAGUGCUUUGUUUUCUAGUUGUAUAAUGCACAUUCAUUUCUUGUUUUACUCUGAGUAGAAUUUAAAUAUAUUUUAUUCUGAUAAUUUAAAUUGUAUUUAUGAAGCCCUGUUUAUCCCAGGUUCAGUGGGGAAGUUGUAAGAGCUACAUUGGUAGAAAAAGAGAAAAAUGGUUAGAAGUACACCUUGCCACUUCAAAUACUCCCACACUGCUUUGCCCAAAGCAGUUCAACUUUUGUUUGAAAUAUUGGCAUUUUAAAUAAGAUUUUAUGUAGAACUGUUUAUGCUGUUUAAAAAACUUGGACAGUA